UACGUAGGGUGCGAGCGUUAAUCGGAAUUACUGGGCGUAAAGCGUGCGCAGGCGGUUUUGUAAGCCAGAUGUGAAAUCCCCGGGCUCAACCUGGGAACUGCAUUUGGGACUGCAAGGCUAGAGUACGGCAGAGGGGGGUAGAAUUCCUGGUGUAGCAGUGAAAUGCGUAGAUAUCAGGAGGAAUACCGAUGGCGAAGGCAGCCCCCUGGGUCGAUACUGACGCUCAUGCACGAAAGCGUGGGGAGCAAACGGG
rnacentral:rRNA from 1 species